AAUGGUGGCGUUUGCUGCAAAGAGUUUUGAGAAUGAUGGAUUCUGUUCCCAUAGUAGAAGCUAAAACAGCAGCUUAAAUAUCACUUGUCUAUCAGUACAUUGGAGCUCUUGUUUGAUGAUAUUUAGAGGGGAAAAUGACGUCAAAGUGGAUGAAAAAACUUUGUACGUAAUGUCGUGCAAUCAACUUUUGCGAAUCUUUUUGGCCCAGACAUAUGAAGUGUCAGUAGAUUGGUGGUAAAGAUAUGCCAUGAACAUUGCCUUCUUUGUGGUGUACAGCCAAGCUUUGGUAUACCAUAUAUGUGUUACCUUUGUGCAUUGUCUGCCAGGAUACAAGGCCUUUGGACAAUCCUCUGUUGUCUGUUUUGAUCAGCUCCUUCUAAGACAAACAAUGGAAGCCAUGCCUCAAGUCACAUUAAGACUUCCCCUUCACACAACAAGAUUGUGUAUUUCUUCCAAGUGCAAGUCACGUCAAACAGAUAGACAAUGAUUUAUUUGAAGAUUGCAAUAAGGAGGAAUCGUCUAUUAUGCUUGGGAAAAAAUUGAAAGUUUCAAGCCGAUAUGUGGAUGUACUUAUUUCAGAUUGACAAAACGCAAGGCAAGAGACCAGAGAUAAUUACCAACCUUGGAAAGACAGCAGGAUCGGAGGCAGUCAAAUGUCACCCUUGGAAAGACAGCAAAAUCGGGGGUCAAUCCGCCACGUCCACCACUAUACAUUAUAGGCAGCUUUUAAUUAGUUAUAAAAGCUCAAACUUAUGGUAACAACAUCUUGUAAUACACGUGUAUCAAGACAGAAGUUAGGUUACACAAAACGCAUGCUUGGAAAAUAAAUGCUACUACCACAGGGUAGAAAACUUUUGUAAAUACUUAACAAAACUGUUUUGAAGUGGUGGGCGCGGCGGGGGACGUUGGAUGGGUGGAAAAAACAAACUUUGUGAAAGAAGUAGUGAUUUGAUUUUUGUAAUAAAAAACUGUACGAAAAGGACUGUAAUAUUACUGUGAUAUCAAUUGGAAGAUUGUACUGUAAUAUUAUUAAAGUGUAAUAAAAAUGUUUGUACCACCGGG